GGUAAGUCAGGCUCUGAUACAGGGGAAAUGGAGGGGCAGAGGCUAACAGAGCUCUGCCCAGAUGCCAGCUCUUCUGCUGGGAGGGGGUCAGUGGGUAUCGCAGGCUCAUCCACUGCCCCCAGGACCCGGUUGGGAUGUAGCUGGUUUCACUUACCUCCUCCUCCUGGCAUCCCUGCAGAGCUGGUUGGGGAUCUGGACCGCCCGUCCAGCCUCCCUGUAGGACUGGC